rnacentral:rRNA from 1 species
GUAGUUUGAUCAUGGCUCAGGACGAACGCUGGCGGCGUGCUUAACACAUGCAAGUCGAACGGUAAGGCUCCAGCUUGCUGGGGUACACGAGUGGCGAACGGUGGGUAACACGUGGUGACCUGCCCUGCACUUCGGGAUAAGCCUGGGAAACUGGGUCUAAUACCGGAUAGGACCGCACCGUGAGGGUGUGGUGGAAAGUUUUUUAGUC